GACUUGGAUGGAGCAUGCGCGCUCAGCUGACUUCCUUAAUGUUUUAUAAAAGCCCACCAUUGAAUACAAUUAGCAUAACGUGUGCGCAAUUAGGAAUCUGUGAUCAAACUACUUUCAAUUAUUAUUCUUUUUAUAUUACAUUUGAACUCUUUCUUCAAUCAUGUCCGGGACUGUGUCAGGAUAGGCUACGUCACAGACCUGUAGCUGGUAUAAAAAGCUCCGUCUGAUGCAGCGACUACAUUAGAGAGAAGCAGCGUCUGUGGGCAGUCUCCUCCAUCUGGCCAAAUUACUGCAACAACAACAAACAAAACAAAAGCGAGAAAAUGUCCAAAAUGACGAUCGUUCAGCUUGGAGUGAUUGUGUUCGCCAUAUGUUUAUCAACACAGGCGACAGAGCACAGCACAAAUACCACAUCAAUGGGGAACUCAACCUCCAACCCUAACGCCACCACCGUGGCCACAGACACCCACAGCAGUUCGGCCAACACUACAGGCACCAACGCAGCAGGCGUCUCGCUGCAUGCAGGCACCGUCUCCUUUCUGAUCCCCGUCACCAUGGCAGCCUCUCUCCUGCAGCGCUACUGUUGAAGCCCCUGGACCCCCAACCCCAAAGUCCCCUCUUUUCUGCCUCUGCACCUCCCAUCAUCCCACCCAGUCCAACCUCCCUCUUCUCGCCUUCGCCGCACUGCACAAGACUAACAUGGAUGGACUCCACAACCUUCUUUGUCCUCCUUAAGUAAUGAUAAUAAUAUGUAUAAUUCAAGACAUUUCUUUCAAUAAAAGGGGGUUUAACCUGGAGACCAUCACCCCCUCAGCCCAUUGCAUGGAAUCAAAAGGAAUGGCCGUUCACCCAGCUUCCCUUUUGGCUUUUGUUUCCAUAGUCACGCCAUCACAUUAUGGAGAUGCUCAGGGCUGCGGUUGUCAUGUCACAUGUCUUGAUUAAAAUGCGGACCACUUGAGUGUACAGAGGUUCUUUCUGUGGUUGUAAAUCCACCUGGCAAUCAGAAUGGUGUCCGUAAAGUGAAGUUUGGCACAAACGCAAUCAAAAACAAAAUGGUGGGUUGGAUUUUCAGUUGGGCUCUUUCAUAAUUUGGCUCUUGGGUCUUUCUAUUAGAAAUGUCAAAGAGAUGUAUGUAGCAAAUAAGUUGCCACAAGACUUGUGUCAGUUCUGCCUUGUGAUUUUUAAAGAUGUGUGGUCUUUUACAAUGAGGGUUUGAUUGACACCGUUUCCCCCCUUCAUCCAUUGGUUAGACCCAGGAAAUGACUGUCUGUAUAAUCAUAUGGGAAGGGUUGAUGUUAGAUUUAUAUUUCUCCCUUAUAGUUUAUAUUUUGUAUAAAUGGAAAUGUUGUACUGUUUAUUAGUUUGGAUAUGAUAAUGGAAGAAUGACAAUGUAAAAAUAAAUAAUACAACAUGAUGAAAACUUUA